rnacentral:rRNA from 1 species
UACGUAGGGGGCAAGCGUUAUCCGGAUUUACUGGGUGUAAAGGGGGCGCAGACGGCGAUGCAAGCCAGGAGUGAAAGCCCGGGGCCCAACCCCGGGACUGCCCUUGGAACUGCGUGGCUGGAGUGCAGGAGGGGCAGGCGGAAUUCCUGGUGUAGCGGUGAAAUGCAUAGAUAUCAGGAGGAACACCGGUGGCGAAGGCGGCCUGCUGGACUGCAACUGACGUUGAGGCCCGAAAGCGUGGGGAGCAAACAGG